rnacentral:lncRNA from 1 species
UCGAGUAGACUUAAAGUCAACUCAAGAUCCUGUCUGAAAAAUCUGACUUUUUAACUUUCCUAAGAAAGUUGAUUUAUAUUUCACAUGGAUCGACUCCUCCACUUCCAAAGACUUUCAAAAUAUUUCAAAUUCUUCUCAAUUUUAAUAUUUGUUCUUUUAAGCUUCUCCAUACUUCUUCAAACAUUCAAGCUCAUUGUACUUCAUAUAAAAUAAAUUAACUACUCCAAUAACACACAA